UUUAGAAUGCCUUAUGAGUGCAGUAUAAUUAAGCAAUGACAUAUGAGAAGAUACUCCGAUAUGUCAUGGCUGUGAUUCGGUCAAAGUCACAAGGCUGUAGGCCACCACAAAAAAAAAAAAAAAAAAUUAUAACGUCAGCGCAAGUGGGAGGGGCCAUUGCAUCCAAACCGUCCGCAUUGCUGGAUAAUUCAGUCAAUAACCAAUAUAGUUUUGUCUAAUAUUUCCGCUGCAGCUCAUCCAGAAUGCUGCCACCAGAGUCCUCACUAACACCAAGGAAGUGGAGCAUAUCACACAGGUCCUUAGUCACUGCACUGGCUUCCUGGGUUAAUUUUUAAAUAUUACUACUUGUCUACAAGGCACUAAAUGGCACUAAUUUUCUUGAACCUUGUGAAG